rnacentral:lncRNA from 1 species
GGCUGGUUAGCGGGCCACGGCCAGAGGCGCUGGCACAUCCAACACCUGAGGAGGACCCAAGUCUGGUUAAGCUGGGAGGAGUACCCAAUGCCACCACCUCUAUCCCCAGCCUUCCCUGACUACUCCAGUGGCACCUCUUAGUUAACUGCAGUGGGGUUUAUGCCCAGAGGGCUUCUCGGCACCUGUUUCCCCUACUCUCAUCGAGGGCCAAUGGGGCUUAACAAGGGUCAAAAGAAGGGAAGAGCAGCUUCCAAGGAUCACCACUUUGGGGAGGUUUCUGGACUGGACUGUUUUGGAGACUUCCAGUGGCCCCUGUUGUUGGUGUGGAUCAAGAAAGGGUGGUGGGAACUCUCCCCUCCCUCAUUCCCUGAGGUAGAGUCAAGGGAAACCAACCACCCAUCCACCCAACUGGACCAGUUUCCUCAUUCUCCUUUUGGGCCAUGGGGAAUCUAUGGCUCUCUGGGAGCUGCUUCUAGCCCAAUGGCACUGAACAGGGGUCUAGGGAUGGGGCACAGCUUCUUCGGGGAGUUUUAGGGCCCUGUGCUGACAGCUCAUCACUAAUCACUUGCCAAUUCCCCAGGAGGAACGUGUCAGCAGGUGGGGUUUCUGCCAGAGUCCGAAGCAAGCGGGCAGCAGGAGAAGCAGUGGGGCUUGGGGAGGUAAGAGCCUCCCGCACCAGGCCAUGACACACCUGGGAGACAGGUAAGGGAGAAGAGAAGAGAGCAGCAGUGGCUGAAAAGGCAGAGGAGUGGGAGGGGCCAGGUAGUGGGGACUUGGGGGGUGUGGAGGAGAGGGCUGAGAGGAGGUCAUUCUAGGGGAUCUUGGAGACAGACUGCUGGACAGGAAGACAGAGUAGGGGUAGGGAUAAGGGAGUUCCAGGAAGCGGAGACCUUGGGCCAGAUUCUUGUUGGAGGGGAGGGUGGUAGGCAGCAUGGGAGAGGACAGAGGACAAGAGGGGACAUGUCUGGGCACAAGGAAAGGCAAGCAAUGGAGGCAGCAAGAGCCCUUGGCAGCAAGUUUCCAUCACCUUUGCCUGCCAGUGUGUGAGAGGCGCAGAGGGGCAGUGAGCAGGUGACAUGCAGCUUCCAGAUACCCACACACUGCUUUUCUCCCGCCCAGCUCCCACCCCAGUUAAUUGAGAUGGGAUUGUUUCUCUUUCUGGUUUCUUCCUAAGCCCCUCUCUCAUAUUCCUGGUGUGCUUAUGGCCUGGCACACCUUGUGAAACAGAAACCCAAGCUCCUCAUUUCGGAGCUGGGAUUUCGAUUGGCUAUCUGCCUCCCUAACCAAGCUGUCCCUUCCACCUCAUCCCUAGAGUCACCCUCUGGUCUCAUCAACAUCCAGUGGGCAUUUCAGUGGCCCAGGAUCCUUCAAAUUGCAGAUAUAAAGCAUCAGGACCCCACACCUGGGAUGGAAGCUUCUAGGAAUUAAUGAAGCCCCAGUAGAGAUGAGAAACAGGAGGAACAGGAUGUAUGUAACUUGCCCAAGGUCACAGAGCCAAGAGGUGGCUGAAGCCAGACUUGAACCCAGGCAUUCAGCUAAGAAACUGCAUUCUUAAGCAAAACAUCACAAGACCUGCUCUAGAGAAAGUGUUCCUGCCUCCUGCUAGGCAAGGUGAUGCCCUAGGGGAAAGGAAGGAGGAGAAAGAUACCCACAACAGGUGAAGGAGAGAAAGCAGUCCCACAGACACCCUUCUCUGCUGGAAAGUCCUUCCUAUCUGACUCCAGUCCCACUUGCUGGAGGAGUUCCCCUCAUUUUGUUUCUGAGACAGCCUUCUUCUGUGUAACAACUAUUCAGAGACUUGAAAUCUGCCUCUCUGGUUUCUUCUGUCUUUGCAAAUGUCACAUUAAAGAGAAC